rnacentral:rRNA from 1 species
AUUGAACGCUGGCGGCAUGCUUUACACAUGCAAGUCGAACGGUAACAGGGAGCUUGCUCCGCUGACGAGUGGCGAACGGGUGAGUAAUGUAUCGGAACGUACCCAAGAGUGGGGGAUAACGUAGCGAAAGUUACGCUAAUACCGCAUACGAUCCAAGGAUGAAAGUGGGGGACCUUCGGGCCUCAUGCUCCUGGAGCGGCCGAUAUCUGAUUAGCUAGUUGGUGAGGUAAAGGCUCACCAAGGCGACGAUCAGUAGCUGGUCUGAGAGGAUGAUCAGCCACACUGGAACUGAGACACGGUCCAGACUCCUACGGGAGGCAGCAGUGGGGAAUAUUGGACAAUGGGCGAGAGCCUGAUCCAGCCAUGCCGCGUGUGUGAAGAAGGCCUUCGGGUUGUAAAGCACUUUAAGCGAGGAGGAAGGUUCGUUACUUAAUACGUAACGGAAUUGACGUUACUCGCAGAAUAAGCACCGGCUAACUCUGUGCCAGCCGCCGCAGUAA